GAUGAACGCUGGCGGCGUGCCUAAUACAUGCAAGUAGAACGCUGAAGCUUGGUGCUUGCACCGAGCGGAUGAGUUGCGAACGGGUGAGUAACGCGUAGGUAACCUGCCUGGUAGCGGGGGAUAACUAUUGGAAACGAUAGCUAAUACCGCAUAACAGUAGAUGUUGCAUGACAACUAUUUGAAAGGGGCAAUUGCUCCACUACCAGAUGGACCUGCGUUGUAUUAGCUAGUUGGUGAGGUAACGGCUCACCAAGGCGACGAUACAUAGCCGACCUGAGAGGGUGAUCGGCCACACUGGGACUGAGACACGGCCCAGACUCCUACGGGAGGCAGCAGUAGGGAAUCUUCGGCAAUGGACGGAAGUCUGACCGAGCAACGCCGCGUGAGUGAAGAAGGUUUUCGGAUCGUAAAGCUCUGUUGUAAGAGAAGAACGAGUGUGAGAGUGGAAAGUUCACACUGUGACGGUAUCUACCAGAA
rnacentral:rRNA from 1 species